GACGAACGCUGGCGGCGUGCUUAACACAUGCAAGUCGAACGGAAAGGCCCUGCUUUUGUGGGGUGCUCGAGUGGCGAACGGGUGAGUAACACGUGAGUAACCUGCCCUUGACUUUGGGAUAACUUCAGGAAACUGGGGCUACUACCGGAUAGGAGCUCCUGCUGCAUGGUGGGGGUUGGAAAGUUUCGGCGGUUGGGGAUGGACUCGCGGCUUAUCGGCUUGUUGGUGGGGUAGUGGCUUACCAAGGCUUUGACGGGUAGCCGGCCUGAGAGGGUGACCGGCCACAUUGGGACUGAGAUACGGCCCAGACUCCUACGGGAGGCAGCAGUGGGGAAUAUUGCACAAUGGGCGGAAGCCUGAUGCAGCAACGCCGCGUGCGGGAUGACGGCCUUCGGGUUGUAAACCGCUUUCGCCUGUGACGAAGCGUGAGUGACGGUAAUGGGUAAAGAAGCACCGGCUAACUACGUG
rnacentral:rRNA from 1 species